ensembl:snoRNA
GUGCAUUCUCGUAAACCCCCUAGUUGCUAAUGUUAGCUUCUGGGACAAGGAAGGAUGCUAGAUCAAACUAGAGAUCCAAAGCUGAGGGCCGCGUGUCAGUGGCUCUCGGUUAUUUCAGCUCUAGGACAUUC